AUUCUGAGUACCCAAUAUGCAAGGUUACUUAUGUUGGGAACAGAGUUAUUAGCUGUUGGGUUGUAAUUUCUUUACAGUUUUACACCACCCACUUACCAGGUGGAUACCACAACUGCUAAAGUGAGGAGACAUACAAAGCAAGGUUUGUUACAUUCCCAAUGUUGCUUUACCAUAUAGAUGACUUGAUAUUAUUAUAGAGAGCCUCAUUUUGUUGUUAAGAUGUAAGUUUGUGAAGUACUGUUGUGUACCAGCUUCUGCCUUCAGGAAUCAAUGGGUAGGUGAGCAAGCUAAUGGUUAGCCAACGUUAAUAGCGUAAAGUACAUUGCCUCAAAUGUAGCAAGCUAACACGUUAGCUGAUGUGCAGCGUGGUGUGGUCAGAAAUGUUGAACUACUGCUUCAAUGGACUCUCUGUCUUGAUGUUUCAGGUUGAUAUGAACAAUCAAUGGAUGACUUUGAGACGUCGAGUGGAGUGGAGUGGAUGCAAGAUACAACUUCCUGUUCUGUAUUGUUUAUUUUGAAAAGAGAAGAAAAACAUGUAAAAAAACUGCCAAAUGUUUACAAACUCCAAAGUUCAUUGUCCAUCAGUGAAAUUGAAAGUUUAAAGAACCCAGCAGAGAAGUUAUUGUGAACCC